UACGUAGGGUGCAAGCGUUAAUCGGAAUUACUGGGCGUAAAGCGUGCGCAGGCGGUUUUGCAAGACAGAUGUGAAAUCCCCGGGCUCAACCUGGGAACUGCAUUUGUGACUGCAAGGCUAGAAUCUGGCAGAGGGGGGUAGAAUUCCACGUGUAGCAGUGAAAUGCGUAGAUAUCUGGAAGAACACCAAAGGCGAAGGCAGUGUCCUGGGUGGUCGCUGACGCUGAGAGGCGAAAGCCAGGGGAGCGAACGGG
rnacentral:rRNA from 1 species